rnacentral:lncRNA from 1 species
CAUGCACGGGAUGUCGCACUUUGUAUUCUGUGCUCGGCGCACCAUCUCCAUGCGGACGGGGGCAUUGUGGGGGGGUUGCUGUUGGUAACAUCAUGACAUUGCCUCCGUUUCUCUGUCUGCAUCGCUUCCAUGGUGCCGGGUCCCCUAGAGUCACGCAGUGGUUUUGCCGCGGUGGCGUCUCCCCAUCGUGUAUCGGUAUCAUUCUCGAAUGCUUUCGUGGUGAGAGCAGUGGUGGGCCUUCCCGUUUUAAGAUCAGCUUUGUGUUCACCAGGCCUGGCAUCUGGCCCUCUCCUCGUGCUGCCAAUGUGAAGUUGUAGCUUGGCCUCAUCGUUGUUGAGGGUCGGUGUUUCGUAUGCCCCCGCUUUUCGGCCGGCCUCCAUGCUGUCUUUGUCGUUGCGGAGCGGGCCAGGUGUCGUCGUUCCCGUUUCUUCGCCGUCUUUGUGGUGCCCUGCUUGGUUGCCUUGGUCAGUGCUCUAUCCGUGGAGCGGUGGUGCGUGACCUGUGCGGGAGGGGCUGGCGUUGUCGUCCGGGAAUCGUGUCUGUCGGUGAUGUUGGCAGCAUUUAUCAGAGUGUUUCCCACUGCUCUUACAAUCCCUUCAAUUGCUCGCUUC